rnacentral:rRNA from 1 species
CCUUGCCUAGUGGGGGGGGAUAGCCGGCCCAACGGCCGGGUAAUACCGCAUAGGGUGUUUUCUUCGCAUGGGGGAGACAGCAAAGCUUUGGAGGAAUCCAAGGCGCCACAGGGGGGGCUCGCGGCCUAUCAGCUAGUUGGGGGGGUAAUGGCCCACCAAGGCGACGACGGGUAGCUGGUCAGAGAGGAUGGCCAGCCACAUUGGGACUGAGAGACGGCCCAGACUCCUACGGGAGGCAGCAGUGGGGAAUCUUGCGCAAUGGCCGAAAGGCUGACGCAGCGACGCCGCGUGGGGGAGGAAGGCCUUCGGGUUGUAAACCCCUGUUGCCCGGGACGAAAGCGCUCUUUAGAGGGCGUUGACGGUACUGGGUGAGGAAGCACCGGCUAACUCCGUGCCAGCAGCCGCGGUAAUACGGAGGGUGCAAGCGUUGUCCGGAAUCACUGGGCGUAAAGGGCGCGUAGGCGGCUCAUGAAGGCUGUGGUGAAAGUCCGGGGCUCAACCUCGGAUCGGCCGUGGCGACUGGUGGGCUGGAGCACUGUAGAGGCGGGUGGAAUUCCGGGUGUAGCGGUGGAAUGCGUAGAGAUCCGGAAGAACACCAGUGGCGAAGGCGGCCCGCUGGGCAGUGGCUGACGCUGAGGCGCGACAGCGUGGGGAGCAAACAGGAUUAGAUACCCUGGUAGUCCACGCCGUAAACGAUGGGCACUAGGUGCUUGGGGGAGCGACCCUCUGAGUGCCGGCGCUAACGCAUUAAGUGCCCCGCCUGGGGAGUACGGCCGCAAGGCUGAAACUCAAAGGAAUUGACGGAAUCGAAUU